GGUUUGUCGCGUUGUUCGUGAAAACCGGGGGCUUAACUCUCGGCGUGCGGGCGAUACGGGCAGACUGGAGUACUGCAGGGGAGACUGGAAUUCCUGGUGUAGCGGUGGAAUGCGCAGAUAUCAGGAGGAACACCGGUGGCGAAGGCGGGUCCCUGGGCAGUGACUGACGCUGAGGAGCGAAAGCGUGGGGAGCGAACAGGAUUAGAUACCCUGGUAGUCCACGCCGUAAACGGUGGGUACUAGGUGUGGGUUUCCUUCCUUGGGAUCCGUGCCGUAGCUAACGCAUUAAGUACCCCGCCUGGGGAGUACGGCCGCAAGGCUAAACUCAAAGGAAUUGACGGGGGCCCGCACAAGCGGGCGGAGCAUGUGGAUUAAUUCGAUGCAACGCGAAGAACCUUACCUGGGUUUGACAUGCACAGGACGCGUCUAGAGAUAGGCGUUCCUUUGUGGCCUGUGUGCAGGUGGUGCAUGGCUGUCGUCAGCUCGUGUCGUGAGAUGUUGGGUUAAGUCCCGCAACGAGCGCAACCCUUGUCUCAUGUUGCCAGCACGUGAUGGUGGGGACUCGUGAGAGACUGCCGGGGUCAACUCGGAGGAAGGUGGGGAUGACGUCAAGUCAUCAUGCCCCUUAUGUCCAGGGCUUCACACAUGCUACAAUGGCCGGUACAAAGGGCUGCGAUGCCGUGAGGUGGAGCGAAUCCUUGUUAAAGCCGGUCUCAGUUCGGAUCGGGGUCUGCAACUCGACCCCGUGAAGUC
rnacentral:rRNA from 1 species